GAUAAUGAUUCAAUAAUAUCCAACGAACCACAAAUAGCGAACGAUAUUAUUCCCGAUUGAAUAAAGCAAUCUCACAAAAUGAACGAACUAUCUGUAUAUACUGUAUUCAUGCGAUUACCGACUUAAUCCUCGGCUCCGUGACGCAAUACUGCCGAGAAUUUUUGUCGUCUUGAGGAACUUUACCUUUCAGCAGGGUGUUCCACGAGAAGCUGUUAGAUCGCAGUUUGUUCAGUUAGAAACAAUUAUGUCGCUUUAAUAGCUUUUUCCAGUUCCAAACAGUGGGUGUUUCGAAUUUUUUCAAUAUUAUUUUCUCAGAUUUCUCUGUCGGGACACCCUGUACAUUCAUAAUACAUCGUUGUUGCCUAGCGUACUUGCGAUCGCCGACUGUGGGGGGAUGGGUAUUUUCUCAGAAAAAUUCGUCGUAUAACAGUAGAGCCGCCUUCAGAUCGUGUAUGACGAAUCGGAAAAAAAAACGAGAGAGGGCGAAAGUGGGCAAAAAAUAAAACGAAAAAAAGUAAUAGAGAACGAACGAGAGACAGAGAGUCAAAGAGAGAACGCAAAUAUCUCAUCGGGAGCAACGUACCCGUCUCAGCCGGACACACGAUUGAAUCGAUAUGCGAUUCGUCCUUGCGCAUUCGUCCAGAGGCUUUUUAUGACGGGAAACCUCCUGCAGAACGGAAGUUAAUCGUGCAAAUAAUUUCUCUGUUGUUUUGCGCCGCAGUCCAACGCCGUCAACGGCAUCGAACACGCACGUAGAGGACGUCAGUUCGUCGGAACCGGCGACUCCUACCGCUUCGCCACGGAAGGAGGGUAACAAUCGGACGCUCACGAAGAAGCAACAACGAGAGCUGGCGCCUUGUAAGAUACUCCUCGAACAGUUGGAGCAGCAGGACGAGGCCUGGCCGUUCCUCCUGCCGGUGAACACCAAACAAUUCCCGACCUACAAGAAAAUCAUAAAAACCCCCAUGGAUCUCAGUACGAUUAAGAAGAAAUUGCAGGACUCUGCGUACAAGUCUCGCGAUGAGUUUUGCGCCGAUGUCAGACAGAUGUUCAUCAACUGCGAGGUAUUCAACGAGGACGACAGUCCUGUGGGCAAGGCCGGCCAUGGGAUGCGCAGUUUCUUCGAAAUGCGCUGGACCGAGAUCACCGGCGCGCCGCCCCCGCAUCCGCAAACGCAUAGCUGAGGCUCGGUACGUUCGCGUAAUACUUGCAACAGCUUUGCCCACUUCUACUACUAGGAUAUGCACCGCAUCAUCGCGCGAUAAACCGACAGUCGUUGUCGUCGUCAUCGAAAGAGACUGAUCCCCUCUACUUCCGAACUGCUUUAUUAAUCGGCCUCGUUCUAGCGGCCGAUCGAAUUUUUCAUUGUAAUAAUAAUCGCUACGAAUGGUGGAUACACUCGUCUAUCGUAUCAUUCAUUCUUCGCUGUUUGCAUUCUGACACGAGUAUGUCCCUGUAUUUUAUUUCCCUGUUAGCACCACAAUGGCGCAGUUUUGUCAAACUUAUUCAUUGUAAAGUAUUAUAUGUGAGACAUUCUUAGUCGAUCGGACAUUCGGCUCCGGUUUAACAAAUCCUGGUAAGGGAAAGUGCGAGAAGCUUCGCAUUCUUUGAUCGAGAUCUUAAUCUGCGAUAAACGAGAGAACUUCUCGAUACAAACGUGAUUAAUCGGAUAAAAGCGCAUCGUUUCGAUCCCUACCGAUCGGGAUGAAGCAAUGCGAAUGGUCAUUGUACUUACCGAUAAACAAGUGAACAUUUUGCCUAAGCGACUAAAAUGUAAUUUGCGAUUGUAUUAUACAGGCUUAAAUGCCGACGCGUCGUUGGCAAAAGAAAUAUUUUGCAAAGUAAUAAAUGUGAAAAAGAAAGAGAGGUUAUAUAAAUAUAUAUAAAUAUAUAAAUAUGAAUAUAGUGUGUAUAUGUAUACACAGAAUAUAUAUACAUAUAUUAUACACGUCACACACACAUGCAUACACUCGCACAUCACCUUUGCCCACAAAUGAGCAUGUAAGGUAAGGGUAUUAUUCGCAGUAGAAAUAGACAGAACAAAGGACAUGAAAUCGACAUUUGGAUUAAAGAAAUAUCUUAACACCGUUUCGCAGAACCAUUUUGAUUUCUACAUUCUUUGCAUUUGGCAUCGGAUUUUAUCAAUUUAGGAGUGUAUAUAUAUGAAAAAGAACACAUGAAGUACGCAGAGCGAAACUUGUAAUGACAAAGAGGAAGAAAAUAUUUAUAUUUUCGCGCAUCAGUAUUUUAAAACAAGAACAUAGUCUCUACUCUAUGAAUGUUAUAUUGAUUCGCAGAUCUGUCAAAUUAAUAGACAAAAUUGUCUAUUAUAAUUGUAAUUAUCGUUUUAGUGUGAAAAAAGAGUGUGUGUUCAACGAUUUAUAUUUUAAUGUAGUCAAUGAUUAUUAAUCGAAAUGAAACAUGUGUUGAGCCUUGCGUACUCUGCAUGUGAACGAUUUAUCAAAAAUGUUAUUGUCAUUUGUAGAAAAAUAAGUCUGUUUAGAAUUUUCCGUUUGCUUAAUUUUAUGUAAUACAAAGAAGAUUUCGUUUCGAAUAGUAUAUAUAUGAGCAAAUACAAAAUCUUCCACUGCCGUUGAAGAGAUUCGCAUCACAUUAAUAUUGCGUUAACAAAUAUUUAUUAAGUAGAUUUGAGAGAGAUAUCAUUUCAUUUGGCACACGGAAAUAUUAUUCGUUAUCCGUGUAGGAAAGUUGUAACGUCCUUUUUGGCUUCCCAUUUUUCAUUCGAGUGUCGUAAAGUGGUGAAUGUCGUAAAUGCGGAUCAGCACACAUACACAGACACAAAAUUAGACGUUCAGGGAUGAUAUUACCGAAAAUUAUUAUUCAAUUGUUAAAUUAGUUGGCGCAUCCCCGAAAAUACGAUCAGUGUGAAAAAUUCUUUGAAUGUAACGCAGCAAAAAGUGCAUUGCAUGAUGAACGCCUUCAAGAAAAUGAAUUUCUUCGAGAGUAAUGAAUGUGAUUGUGUUUUGAUUGUCAUUGAGAAACUAGAUUUAUAUUCGCCACGCGAUGCGUAGUAUUAUUAUAAUAAGAAUUAUCGCAAUUUUGACUGCGCCAAGUCCAACGAUUAAAUCUUACGCACUAAUUCUCUCCCGUUUGUGCGGAGUUUUCUAAGGGCGACGAUUGGCGUCAAACAUCUUUCAAAGCGAAAUAUCUUCGAAGCGUCACUAUAGAAUAAAGACGAAGAGAUAUAUUGCGCUGCGAACGAUAGAUGUGUCAGAUAUUAGUGAGAAUUUCUUCGAUUAUAAUCAACCAUUGUACCUUUGUAAGUAUGACCAUUUUACGCGAGACGGUGUCUACGAUGUAACGAAAACAUUCACACUGUAUCUUGUUUUGUAUGUAAUUGAUGUACAUUAUUGCUUGUAAUAGCGAAUAACUGGUAAAUAAAUAAUGAGAGAGAAUGGGAGGGAAGGGAGAGUUCAACCGUAGUGUGACGUGCUAAAUGAAUACUGUUUAAAAGAAAAAAAAAAAAACAUUCGUAGUGUGUAAAAGUAUUAAUUAAAGUAUAAAUGAACGGCGAAAGAGAGAGACCACGAAGUAAAAGUUAAUUGAUAUCGUUCAGGGUGCGACUGAAACAAGCGACGUCUCAUCGCCGUAAUUGAGAAAUGAACAUACGGUAAGAUCAUUGACGGGAUUGCGCGAUGACUACGAAUUUUUUGUUACGUCCUGAUGUCGGGAAAUAGUUUUUUCGUUUUGUCUAUAAAAAUUUGUUUAUCGUAUAUAGUCUCGUAAAAAGAUGAAAGAUUUUAAACGAUCUUAUGAUUUCAGGAACUUACAAAUUGUCAAUAUUAAUGAUCAUCCAUAUCCAUAUUAUUAAUGUUACAUAUUGUGCUGGAUUUCGAGGUCUAUCGUGAUAUUCAGCAUUAAUAAUUUGCGAAAAUAAUAGCAAAAAAAUUCUGUUCUAUUA